AGCGGCGAACGGGUGAGUAACACGUUGGAACCUGCCCCAGACUCAGGGAUAACAUCGAGAAAUCGGUGCUAAUACCGGAUAGUCUCGUAAGAGUAAAGCUUUUGCGGUCUGGGAGGGUCCUGCGCAGUAUCAGCUAGUUGGUAAGGUAAUGGCUUACCAAGGCUACGACGCUUAGCUGGUCUGAGAGGAUGAUCAGCCACAAUGGAACUGAGACACGGUCCAUACUCC
rnacentral:rRNA from 1 species